CUUGUCUUAGAUUUGUCUAGAUACGGAUGUAUCAAGUCACAUUUUAGUAUUAGAUACAUCCGUAUCUAGACAAAUCUAAGACAAGAAAUUUGGGACAGAGGGAGUAGUUG
rnacentral:pre_miRNA from 1 species